rnacentral:rRNA from 1 species
UACGUAGGGGGCAAGCGUUGUCCGGAUUUAUUGGGCGUAAAUAGCGUGUAGGCGGUUAUACAGGUCCGCUGUGAAAACUGGAGGCUUAACCUCCAGACGUCGGUGGAAACCGUAUGACUAGAGUCCGGAAGAGGAGAGUGGAAUUCCUGGUGUAGCGGUGAAAUGCGCAGAUAUCAGGAAGAACACCCGUGGCGAAGGCGGCUCUCUGGGACGGUACUGACGCUGAGACGCGAAAGCGUGGGGAGCGAACAGG